UCCCGUAUGGUCUAGUGGCUAGGAUCCUGCUCUCUCACAGCAGUGGCCGGGGUUCAAUUCCCCGUGCGGGAA